rnacentral:rRNA from 1 species
CGUCAAGUCCUCAUGGCCCUUAUGGGCUGGGCUACACACGUGCUACAAUGGCGGUGACAGGAGGGCCGCGAAGGGGCAACCCUUAGCUAAUCUCUAAAAGCCGUCUCAGUUCAGAUUGUCCUCUGCAACUCGAGGGCAUGAAGUCGGAAUCGCUAGUAAUCGCGGAUCAGCAUGCCGCGGUGAAUACGUUCCCGGGCCUU